AGCUUUGCGCAGUGGCAGUAUCGUAGCCAAUGAGGUUUAUCCGAGGCGCGAUUAUUGCUAAUUGAAAAAAAGGAGUUCAGAGCUAAACAAAGAAUUCACAGCUGAGGAAUGCAGAAUGGCUGAGAAACACCUAAAGAAAUGUUCAACAUCUUUAGUCAUAAGG
ensembl:snRNA LOC120098421 U4 spliceosomal RNA